AGAGUUUGAUCAUGGCUCAGGACGAACGCUGGCGGCGUGCUUAACACAUGCAAGUCAAGGGGGCCCAGCAAUGGGCAACCGGCGAACGGGUGCGUAACACGUGAGCAACCUACCGAACUGUGGGGGAUAGCCGGCCUAACGGCCGAGUAAUACCGCAUACGCUCUCAGAGAGGCAUUUUUUUGAGAGGAAACCUACGGGACAGAUCGAGGGGCUCGCGGCCUAUCAGCUAGUUGGCGAGGUAACGGCUCACCAAGGCAACGACGGGUAGCUGGUCUGAGAGGAUGGCCAGCCACAUUGGGACUGAGAUACGGCCCAGACUCCUACGGGAGGCAGCAGUGGGGAAUCUUGCGCAAUGGCCUAACGGCUGACGCAGCGACGCCGCGUGUGGGAUGAAGCUCCUCGGAGUGUAAACCACUGUUGCCCGGGACGAAUAGCUCGAUUAAUCGAGCCUGACGGUACCGGGUGAGGAAGCACCGGCUAACUCCGUGCCAGCAGCCGCGGUAAUACGGGGGGUGCGAGCGUUGUCCGGAAUCACUGGGCGUAAAGGGCGCGUAGGUGGUUUGAUAAGGGUGUGGUGAAAGUCCGGGGCUCAACCCCGGAUCUGCCGUGCCGACUGUCAAACUCGAGGGCUGUAGAGGCAGGCGGAAUUCCGGGUGUAGCGGUGGAAUGCGUAGAGAUCCGGAGGAAGACCGGUGGCGAAGGCGCUCUGGGCAGUUUCUGACACUGAUGCGCGACAGCGUGGGGAGCAAACAGGAUUAGAUACCCUAGUAGUCC
rnacentral:rRNA from 1 species